UGGGCUGGCCGGGCGACCGCGUCGUUCUCCUCGGAGAGCGCCGAGGAAGGUCCGGGCUCCACAGGGCGAGGUGGUGGGUAACACCCACCCGGGGCAACCCGCGGGAAAGUGCCACAGAGAACAGACCGCCGCUCCCGUUCCGACGGGAGAGGCAAGGGUGAAACGGUGGUGCAAGAGACCACCAGCGACCGGGGUGACCCGGCCGGCUCGGCAAACCCCACCUGGAGCAAGGUCAAGAAGUCCGGUGCUCGCACCGGACGCGCGCACGUUCGAGGGCGGCCCGCCCGAGUGCGCGGGUAGAUCGCUGGAGGCGGCCGGCAACGGUCGUCGUAGAUGGAUGGUCGCCACGCUUCGGCGUACAGAACCCGGCCUACAGGCCAGCCCGUCCG
rnacentral:RNase_P_RNA from 1 species